AACAAAACAAAAAACAAAAAAAGAAGUUUAUUAUGUAAAAGAUAAAUCUAAUAAAUGAUCAAUUUAAGAGUCAUGAUUCAUAAAUAGCUUCAUUGUUAAACAAAACCAAACAAAUUAACAUGCAUUGCAUUAUUAAAAGUGCUAUAGAAUUUUUAAGGAGUAAAUGAUUAUAAUGGUCCCCCACUUCCCUCCUUUGAAUAUUCAAAGCAUAUUUAAAUACCUUGCAGAAAGUAAGUAUUUAAGUAAUUUUGGCUCCCUGUAGGGUUUUUUUGGUUUGUUUGUUUGGUUGGUUGGUUUUUGGUUUUUGGUAAAUUGGUAAUACUGAACUUGUAAUGCAAUGUCUGGUGCAGUAUAAACAAAUAAGUGAAAUGACCUUCAGGACACAGUACAAAUGCUCAUGACAUGCAUGGGAAGUCAUUCUGUUAUGGUAAUUUGGAGAUCUAGACAGGAUCUUAAAAGUCAUCCAAUCUCUAUAGCUAAGGAAAUGUGUACUGUAUACUGCUAAUCUGAAGAACUGAAAACAUGAUAUUAGGCUGUAAUUACAACCAAAUGUUUAACUGAACAAAUCUAGCCUCCAAGGUUUCUUUAAGCAUCUUUCACUUCCCUUUGGUCUCUAACCUCUUCCCCUCACUGUCCAGGUUGCUUUCUUUGCCUGCUUGGCUGAGAUUAGCAUCCAUCCUCUGCCCACUUUCCCAGAUGGAAAAGUGGCAUCAUCGGGAGCUUGGCACUCGGCAGGAUAGGACACAGCUGGAGUACCCCACAAAGUACUCCACGUAAGGGUUUGUUUCCCGGACAAAUGAACUUUGCUGUACUGUCAACACAGACAGUGUGGUCGAACAUUCAACACGAUCCCACGUAUCCUGUGAGCGCCAUUCCCACAGUGGAGUGGAGUUAGGCUGUGUGCUGGCCCGCUGUUUUCCAAUCUGUCAUCUGGUUGGAUCUGUAUCUUGGAAGAUACUGCCUUCCUCCUCUAGAAAGACGGCUCUCAUCCAACAUCUUCAAAAGAAUUCACACUCAUCAUGUGAUAAAAAUUCUUGAGAUUUUGUAACUGAUGGUCAUGGUUGGCCUCUUGAAUUCUAAACAAAUAAAAUCUGCAAAGU
rnacentral:lncRNA from 1 species